rnacentral:lncRNA from 1 species
GGAAACAGCAUGAUUCUCCAGACAAAGCCAGGAAGAAUGCUCUGAUUUUCUUAUGCAGAUAUUUCCUCAAGAGUGAGUGCUUCCAGAAUAUGUGCUGUUUUUGCUUCCACUUAGCAUCAUUCCAAAUUACAGAAGUGAAAACUCCAUAUUGGAUCAUGCAGUGUAGCGUUUGCUCAGAACUUCCUUCUGUUAGUAUAGAUUAGAGCCACGAAAGGAAGACACUGUUCAUUUUAUAAUCAAAGGACGUUCACUGCUUCUGCUCUGAUAGACUUCUCCUCCGGGCACUGUGACAUGUCGGCUGCUCAGCCUCUGCAAGGCCAGGCAGGUUUG